rnacentral:rRNA from 1 species
GACGAACGCUGGCGGCGUGCCUAAUACAUGCAAGUCGAACGCAGUGGGGCCGGGUGAGUAACACGUGGGUAACCUCCCAUCAGAGGGGAUAACCCUUGGAAACAGGUGCUAAACCGAUACUGAAGGCUGGACCCGCGGGGCAUUAGCUAGUUGGUGAGGUAACGGCUCACCAAGGCCACGAUGCAUAGCCGUCCUGAGAGGAUGAUCGGCAAAACUGGGACUGAGACACGGCCCAGACUCCUACGGGAGGCAGCAGUGGGGAAGCUUCGGCAAUUGACGAAAGUCUGACCGAGCAACGCCGCGUGAGGGAAGAAGGUUUUCGGAUCGUAAAACUCUGUUGUUAGAGAAGCGUUAUCUAACCAGAAAGCCACGGCUAACUACGUGCCAGCAGCCGCGGUAAUUC